rnacentral:tRNA from 1 species
GGGCGGAUGGUGGAAUUGGUAGACACGCAAGCUUGAGGGGCUUGUGGCCGCAAGGCCGUGGAGGUUCAAGUCCUCUUUCGCCCA